AUCACUUCUCAGCCUUCUUGGCUAAGAUCAAGUGUAGUAGCUGAUACACAAGGACAGAGAAAUAGUAUCUUUUACUUGUUAUUCUUGGCAAUGCUUUUCCUGCCAAAUCUUUGGCAUCUAAAUGUGGAAAUAUACAUUUCCUGUAUUUGGUUUAUGCCAUAAUUUUG
ensembl:snRNA U2 U2 spliceosomal RNA